rnacentral:rRNA from 1 species
GACGAACGCUAGCGGCAGGCCUAACACAUGCAAGUCGAGGGGUAGAGGAAGCUUGCUUCCUUGAGACCGGCGCACGGGUGCGUAACGCGUAUGCAAUCUACCUUUUACAGAGGGAUAGCCCAGAGAAAUUUGGAUUAAUACCUCAUAGUAUUUUCGAAUGGCAUCAUUUGAUUAUUAAAGUUCCAACGGUAAAAGAUGAGCAUGCGUCCUAUUAGCUAGAUAGUAAGGUAACGGCUUACCAUGGCAACGAUAGGUAGGGGUCCUGAGAGGGAGAUCCCCCACACUGGUACUGAGACACGGACCAGACUCCUACGGGAGGCAGCAGUGAGGAAUAUUGGCCAAUGGGCGCAAGCCUGAUCCAGCCAUGCCGCGUGCGGGAAGACGCAUCUAUGGUGUGUAAACUGCUUUUGUACGGGAAGAAACACUCCCUCGUGAGGGAGCUUGACGGUACCGUAAGAAUAAGGAUCGGCUAACUCCGUGCCAGCAGCCGCCGUAAGAC